UGACUACAGCCGGGAAGGAGGGGUGGACAUCGCAAGUCAGCACACGCUGGAACGCAGAAGCCACAGCACACCUAAGCCUUUCGGGCCUGGAGCGAGGAUGUGAGGGCUGAGCUGAGCGGAGACAAGUAAGGCUUUUGCGGAUUCCCAAGAAGCAUGAAGCAAGGACCAGAGAAACGAGCAGAGGGUGAUGGUCAAUCAGAACUGUCAGCAUUUUUACAGAAUGGGGGAGAGAAAAAAAAAAUCAGGGCUACUCAGGUAACCAGGGCUCAGAAUCAGGAGAGAAGAGAGACAGAGAGACACAAGCCCGACACUCUGCACAGCAGCUAUUAACUACUUAAACGGGGUCCUAAUUUGUAAACCACCUGUGCUCCGAGGAUGAGAGCCUGACGGCUAAGAGCCUGAAAGGGUAUGAAGAUAUUUUGGCAGUUUCUCGGUGCUGGACGCCCAGAGCUGGUGCCCAGGACCCACCGAGGACGAGCCGUCUGAUGAUCGACUGAGACUCUCUCCUGGGAGCCAACUGCCAGGCUCUGCCCAAGGCAAAGAGUCAACUUGAACUAGACCAAGCCUCCAAUGCAGCUACAGCCUCAACUCAGCUCCGUCCCUCUCUACGUAGCUGCCAAAAUCUAAAGCGAAUUCUGUCUGGAGGAAGACGUGCAUUAUCCAGAGUCCUUGAAGUUUUAACACCAUCUGGUAUUUAAUAAAAAAAAAAAAAUCCCCAA